rnacentral:rRNA from 1 species
UGAGUAACACGUGGGCAAUCUGCCCUGCACUUCGGGAUAAGCCUGGGAAACUGGGUCUAAUACCGGAUAGGACCUUUAGACGCAUGUCUUUUGGUGGAAAGCUUUUGCGGUGUGGGAUGGGCCCGCGGCCUAUCAGCUUGUUGGUGGGGUGAUGGCCUACCAAGGCGACGACGGGUAGCCGGCCUGAGAGGGUGUCCGGCCACACUGGGACUGAGAUACGGCCCAGACUCCUACGGGAGGCAGCAGUGGGGAAUAUUGCACAAUGGGCGCAAGCCUGAUGCAGCGACGCCGCGUGGGGGAUGACGGCCUUCGGGUUGUAAACCUCUUUCACCAUCGACGAAGGUCCGGGUUUUCUCGGAUUGACGGUAGGUGGAGAAGAAGCACCGGCCAACUACGUGCCAGCAGCCGCGGUAAUACGUAGGGUGCGAGCGUUGUCCGGAAUUACUGGGCGUAAAGAGCUCGUAGGUGGUUUGUCGCGUUGUUCGUGAAAUCUCACGGCUUAACUGUGAGCGUGCGGGCGAUACGGGCAGACUAGAGUACUGCAGGGGAGACUGGAAUUCCUGGUGUAGCGGUGGAAUGCGCAGAUAUCAGGAGGAACACCGGUGGCGAAGGCGGGUCUCUGGGCAGUAACUGACGCUGAGGAGCGAAAGCGUGGGGAGCGAACAGGAUUAGAUACCCUGGUAGUCCACGCCGUAAACGGUGGGUACUAGGGUGUGGGUUUCCUUCCUUGGGAUCCGUGCCGUAGCUAACGCAUUAAGUACCCCGCCUGGGGGAGUACGGGCCGCAAGGCUAAAACUCAAAAGGAAUUGACGGGGGGCCCGCACAA